AUAAAAUGUUAAUGUUUAGAAAGGACUGUACAUGUCAAGGAAGACGGAGCCAUAACAAAGGUCUUGAAGGAUUACGACAAAUAUGCCUACCCUGGAACAACUGAACAUCCAAUAGUGAAAGUCUUGCAUAGCCUGAAUCUCGAAAAAAUGGACUAUGAUAGUAUGAAGUCCAAAAUGUCUAUUGAGGUUUGGUCAGAGCUGAAAUGGAAUGACCCUAGAUUGACCUGGAAUGGAACACCAGCAAGAAUAAGACUCCCAAUGUCUCUCAUAUGGAUACCAGAUAUAGUUCUAUACAAACAUCCAAAUACAAAGCCAUUAUACAACCAAAAUGUUGUUAUAAGUCGGAAUGGAGAUGUUAUUAUGGUUCCUGAUGCUAAGUAUGACACUGAAAACUGCAAGCAGAAGAAUGACGAUGUUAUCGAAUGUAAAUUUAAAUUUGGAUCCUGGACGUACGGUGCACAUGAAAUCGAAUUACAAGCCAUCAGUCCUCGCGUACUGCUGGAAACCUACACGGAAAACGCCCAGUACGAAAUAGUCGGAUCGAGUGUUGUUCGAGAGGCAAGGAAGUACGACUGUUGUCCAGAAACAUACGACGAUAUAGUCUAUACCAUACAGAUUAAACGUCAUUAGAAAAUUAGAUGUGUGAUAUGUACUCAACGAUAUCGUACUAUGAACUUUGAAGCCGCACACGUAUAUAUCAUGCUGCUUUGUAGAUAACGCGACUUUUUUAUAUUGUAAUGGAAGAAAAAUCUUAACUGUUUCGUAUUUUUGUUACAAAAAUAAAGACCAAUAUUUUCAUAUGCCUGAAGACGCAUUUUUAUUAAUGGGCGCAAAACUAAAAAUGUGCAUAUUCAUUUUUUUUUC